UAGCUAUGUGGUGAACACAAAGCGAACUACUCUUUCGCCUUUUACUAAAGAAUACCGUGUGUUCUCCAUCUUUAAGCGGCAUGAGAACAUGAUUAAUACAUGUCUCUUAGAGUAGAGUUC
rfam:Brassica napus, WGS project CCCW01000000 data, contig: 16031